AUGAGCUACGAGCAAGCUUCGGGACAGAGGGUUAAUUUGCAGAAAUCCUCGAUUUUCUUUGGCAAAGGCUGUCAUGACAACACCAAGGACGAACUGAAGGCGGUGUUGGGGGUGACAUUAGAAGCACUAAGUGAACGGUACCUUGGUCUUCCAACACUGGUUGGACGAUCAAAGGAGGGCACCUUCCGUUAUGUA
rnacentral:rRNA from 1 species